rnacentral:rRNA from 1 species
ACGCUCGACACCUACGAGGAGGCAGCAGGUGGGGAAUAUUGCACAAGUGGGGGAAACCCUGAUGCAGCGACGCCGCGUGAGCGAAGAAGUAUUUCGGUAUGUAAAGCUCUAUCAGCAGGGAAGAAACUGACGGUACCUGACUAAGAAGCACCGGCUAAAUACGUGCCUGCAGCCGCGGUAAUCUGAGCGGGCUGGCAAGGC